AGUGAACGCUGGCGGUAGGCCUAACACAUGCAAGUCGAACGGCAGCACAGUAAGAGCUUGCUCUUACGGGUGGCGAGUGGCGGACGGGUGAGGAAUACAUCGGAAUCUACUUUUUCGUGGGGGAUAACGUAGGGAAACUUACGCUAAUACCGCAUACGACCUACGGGUGAAAGCAGGGGAUCUUCGGACCUUGCGCGAUAGAAUGAGCCGAUGUCGGAUUAGCUAGUUGGCGGGGUAAAGGCCCACCAAGGCGACGAUCCGUAGCUGGCCUGAGAGGAUGACCAGCCACACUGGAACGGGGACACGGUCCAGACUCCUCCGGGAGGCGGCAUAGGGGAUUUUUGGCCAAUGGCCGCAAGCCUGACCCAGCAAGCCCGCUGGGGUGAAGAAGGCCUUCGGGUUGAAAAGCCCUUUUGUUGGGAAAGAAAAGCAGCAGGUUAAUAACCCGCUGUUCUGACGGUACCCUACGAGUAAGAACCGGCUAACUUCGUG
rnacentral:rRNA from 1 species